UAACCUAAUAUUUAAUUAAAUUGAAGUUUUUACAUUAAUAAUUCAUAGAAUUAUAAUAUCAUAAAGAAAAAAAUAUGCAAAGAGGAGGUCGACCGAAGCACAGUUUUUGGGAAGAAGGAGGAUUUCAGCGUAUUCGUGAAAACGGAAAACAAGUUGCAUUAUGUGUAAAGUGUAAAAAAAUAAUGAAUAAUACCACUGAACAACGAUUGAAGAGUCACAGGAAGUCGCGUAUUUGGGAAAACUCUGAUUCAAUUUCUGAAUCUGAAGAUAACUGUAAUAUAAAAUUGUCUUUAAAUAACUUUUUUUAUAGUAAUAAUUUCAUUUGAUCUAAUUCAAGAUCUUUAUCUUAAAAAAUUUUGUAAAAUAUUACGGCCUGCAUAUGAAGUCCCUAGUGAAGUUAAGUUAUCGACAACUUUACUUGAAAAAGCUCACGAUAAAUUUACUGAUCGUAAACUAAACUUGAAGGA
rnacentral:lncRNA from 1 species